rnacentral:rRNA from 1 species
UACGCAGGGGGCUAGCGUUGCUCGGAAUCACUGGGCGUAAAGCGCACGUAGGCGGAUUUUUAAGUCAGGGGUGAAAUCCUGGAGCUCAACUCCAGAACUGCCUUUGAUACUGGGAAUCUCGAGUCCGGGAGAGGUGAGUGGAACUGCGAGUGUAGAGGUGAAAUUCGUAGAUAUUCGCAAGAACACCAGUGGCGAAGGCGGCUCACUGGCCCGGUACUGACGCUGAGGUGCGAAAGCGUGGGGAGCAAACAGG